UGCUGAUUCUAAUUCAGACGGGGUCACGGGGCUGAAUUCAGACCGGGGACCCGGGGCAAAUUUUUUUAGGGGCCUAUUUCCAAAAAAAAAUUUUUCGGACAACAACCUCCCCCCUUCCCAACCUUCCGGACGAGUACGAUGUAAUUGCUUUCCAGCGACUUUACCUCAAUUUUUCUUACCAAAUUUCAUUACUUUGCCCAAAAACCCAAAUAUCUUGCCCUUUGCGCGAAAAUAUUUCUUCCAAAAAAAUGACUGCGGCCCAACAAAAAUUUCUAGGGGCCCCCAUAGCCUGGGGGCCGGGGCAAUCCCCCCCUCCGCCCCCUCUCGGCGGCCCUGCUUUUUAUAAAACCUUGUUUAAACCGAACGCGGGAUUUAUAUAUGGCAAAACUUUCAGCCCAUGGCUGAGUUCUAGUUCAACCUACCCUGCCAGGUGCGGCACAAGAACUUCUGGAACCAGGGCAAGUUCAACAUAGCCUGCGAAUACAGAAUCUAUUUAUAUCGCUUAUUCCAUAUCGCGCCCCCCCCCCCCCAGUGGAAUAAGCGAUAUAAAUAGAUUCUGUAUUCGCAGGCUAGUAAGUUCAACCCAGGAUUUAUGUACACCCUGGCUGACAAUUAUACCCGAGGUUGAACGUUUUUUGCCCUGUAAUCGUUUGAUUUCAAGUCGGCUAGCUCAAACUGGGCUGAUUUUUGAAAUUUGAACCCGAGCAACAUGGCUGGAUUCAGUCCCCGCUCCCAGGGUUGAAAUUGUCCAUGUAAUUGAAAAAUUUCAGGCCGGUCAAUAGGGUUGAAUUCAGGCCCGGGGUUGAAAAAGCUGCAUGUAAUCAGCCCCUUAGAGACCAGUAAAAAGAAAACAUGAGCGGACUGUGGGCUGGUGAAAAAGAUGGACUGCGGAGUACAGACUGUGGAGUACGGAGUCUGUUUUUUGUUUACGUUUAGCGUUCGCUUUGACCAAAUUGCGUCUUUUCCACUUUAAGGGGAAUAGAGUGGUGAACACGGAGUGGGGUAAAAGAUAACGCUAAGCUUAAUUAACACGUUUUAUUAAACAGACACGGUACUCUCUGUAUAUUUGAAAUUUGAGUGACAUUUCCGGCAUUGUGAGCACUGCAUUAAUUUGUUAGAGUACUUUUUAUAUGAUGACCGGUGUAUUGAUGCUUGAAUGGUCAAAAUUCAAUCACUUCAAUAUAGUAAGUAGAAUUCGUAACUCAAAUAUGGAAUACCAGAGUUUUCAUCAAGGGGGCGAUGGACAACACUAGGGGGGUGCACCCCUGUAAUAAAAUACACUAAAAAUUAAUAAACUGCAUGAAUAAAUCCAUGAACUAAUAUUUAACUUAUUCACAUUGCAAAUG